rnacentral:tRNA from 1 species
GGAGCAAUACCCAAGUGGUUAAGGGGAGUCCCUGCUAAGGAUUUAGACAGGUUAUCCUGUGCGAGAGUUCGAAUCUCUCUUGCUCCG